UAUGUGAUCGUCUCUCGCAUAUCAAUAAGCGGAGGAAAAGAAACUAACAAGGAUUCCCCUAGUAACGGCGAGUGAAGCGGGAAGAGCUCAAAUUUGAAAUCUUAAAGGGUUUCCCUUUACGAAUUGUAGUUUAAAGAAGUGUUUUCUGUUGAGGUUUUGGUAAAAGUUCUUUGGAAUAGGACAUCAUAGAGGGUGAGAAUCCCGUAUUUGACCUUUACUUUCAACUUUGUGAUACAGCUUUCAAAGAGUCGGAUUGUUUGGGAAUGCAGUCCAAAAUGGGUGGUAAAUUUCAUCUAAAGCUAAAUAUUGGCGGAGAGACCGAUAGCGAACAAGUACCGUGAGGGAAAGAUGAAAAGAACUUUGAAAAGAGAGUUAAACAGUACGUGAAAUUGUCAAAAGGGAAGCGUUUGACACCAGUGUUGUUUUUCUGAAAAUCAAUUAAAGAACUGUUUAUGCUAAGUUGUUUAGACUUUAUCAGCUAUCUGUUUAGUUUUGAGCUUUUCUUUAAUGCACUUUUCAGUUAACAAGUCAACAUCAAUUUCUUUUGCUGUAAAAAAGCUUGAGGAAGGUGGCUUGAGAUUCGUCUUAAGUGUUUAUAGCCUCUUGCCUAUGCAGUCGGAGAGAUUGAGGUCUGCAGCGUAGAUCCUUCGGGGCUAAAUGCAUUUGUGCUAAGUUAUAACAUUUUAUAGACAACUUGUUGACUAUGAUUUGUCUUGUAGCUUACUCGCUUAUGUUAUUUUACCUACGCUUAGGAUGUUGAGUAGCGACAUACGCAC
rnacentral:rRNA from 1 species